UGUCUGAUUUGCUUUGUCAGAAUCUCAAGAGACAACAUUCACCUGGAUCCUGUAUCAAUGACUAUCUCACAAAUAGAUCACAAUGGAUGUAGUAGAGUAGUAUAAAUACCUCGGCAUUGAGUCAUCUGGACAACAGACUGAACUGAAGUCGCAAUAGUGAAGCCAUCUAAAAGAAUGGAUACCGCAGACUUAAAUACUGUGGAAACCAGUAUUUCCUUCAAGUUGUUGUGUGCUGCUGUACCACAGGAAGUUUAAAACCAAAUCUAACCAGAAUCUACAACCUCGUCUUCCCUUUUGAGGACCACAUGGACCACACCAUGAAGAUGCUUCAGAUUCAUAAACCUGCAACCAAGGUGGACGUAUGCAGAAUUAUCG